AAGUAAAAGUCGUAACAAGGUUUCCGUAGGUGACCUGCGGAAGGAUCAUUAAAAAAUGUGGUACCAAUUAUUGGUACUAAUUAAUCAUCCUACCCUUUGUGAAUUUGUUUGUAUGAUUUUUUUAAAUGGGUCUUUCCCUAAGUUGGAUUGUUAGUAAAAUACAAAAAGACUUAGGGAAUGACUUUUUUAAAAGACUUUUUUUUAAUUAAAACUUUUUGUAUUCAUUUGUCUAAAAUUUAUUUUUAUAAUAUAAAAACAACUUUUGACAAUGGAUCUCUUGGUUCUCGCAACGAUGAAGAACGCAGCAAAAUGCGAUAAGUAGUGUGAAUUGCAGAAUACGUGAAUCAUCGAAUCUUCGAACGCAUAUUGCACUUUUUUAGUUUACUAAAAAAGUAUGUCUGUUUGAGUAUCAGUAAAAUAUUCUCACAAACAUGUAUUGUUUGUGGUAUGAGUGUUUUACAACGAUAACAAGUUGUUUCACUUUAAAUUCUUUUUGUAAUUUUUACCAAUUUACAAAUUAAAAUUGGAUAAAAUUUUCCUUUAACGAGGAAUAACCUAAACAAUUUUAAAUUUUUUGGUUUGUAAAUCAUAAAGGAAUCUAUACAACAAUAACUUGAUCUCAAAUCAGAUAAGAGUACCCGCUGAACUUAAGCAUAUCAAUAAGCGGAGGAAAAGAAACUAACAAGGAUUCCCUUAGUAACGGCGAGUGAAGCGGGAAGAGCUCAAAUUUGAAAUCUUCAAGGUUUGACCUUGACGAAUUGUAGUUUAUAGAAGUGUUUUCUGUUGGAGUUUUGGUAAAAGUUCUUUGGAAUAGGACAUCAUAGAGGGUGAGAAUCCCGUAUUUGACCAUGACUUUCCAGCUGUGUGAUACACUUUCAAAGAGUCGGAUUGUUUGGGAAUGCAGUCCAAAAUGGGUGGUAAAUUUCAUCUAAAGCUAAAUAUUGGCGAGAGACCGAUAGCGAACAAGUACCGUGAGGGAAAGUGAAAAAAACUUUGAAAAGAGAGUUAAACAGUACGUGAAAUUGUCAAAAGUGAAGCGUUUGACACCAGUGUUGUUUUCUCGAAAAUCAAUUUAAUGAGUUCUUGUUUUUAAGUUAUUGUGACUUUAUCAGCGCAUUUCUUAUUUUACUUGACUCAUUGAAUGCACUUUUCGUUAACAAGUCAACAUCAAUUUCUUUGGUGGUAAAAAGUUUAAAGGAGGUGGCUUGGACUUCGGUUCAAGUGUUUAUAGCCUUUUUUCUAUGCCAUCGGAGAGAUUGAGG
rnacentral:misc_RNA from 1 species